AGUAAUGAUACAUGCAUAUUACAUACGCAUGUAGAUGUUGAAGAAGGAGAAAUCACUUGAUGCUCAACUGGAUGAUGAGAUAUGGUUUUGCAUGUCAAUUAUUAUUUUCCCAAUAAUAUACAGCACUCCAAUUGGAUUAUUAGAUGCUACACUUGGUGAACUUCAACGGAUAUGUGGAGCACAAUUACCCAGUGAAGUUCACCAAGUGAUCAUCUUCAACACCACCCGAACCAGAUUUCAUCAACCGAAGCAUAACUCUUGAGUUGGUGGAAUAUCCGUCUCCAAGUACUUUUGGAAAUACAUCAAAAUUAAAAUUUUACUAAAAAAUAUUUAUUAGUUCUUGAAAUCAUAUAGAUAUUCUACACUUUUCUAAAAGGUGUAUUUUUUUUUCCCUCAUCUAUUCCUUUAAUUUUUUAAUUGCAUUUAGUUUCAAACGCCACUGUAAUAAAGAUAAUGUUUACAAAUUGGAAGAGAUUUUUGUUUUUAUAAAGAUGAUUAUGAAUGAGCAACGCAUAGCUUUUAAUUUCCACUUUCCCAAA